rnacentral:rRNA from 1 species
CAAGUCGUACGUGAAGGGGUUUUCGGACUCCUGAAAGUGGCGAACGGGUGAGUAAUACGUAGAUGACCUGCCUUAAAGUGGGGGAUAACUACUGGAAACGGUGGCUAAUACCGCAUAGAGCUGUGACCGUUGGGAGGUUGCAGGGAAAGCUCCGGCGCUUAGAGAGGGGUCUACGUCCGAUUAGCUAGUUGGUGGGGUAAAGGCCUACCAAGGCGACGAUCGGUAGCUGGUCUGAGAGGACGAUCAGCCACACGGGAACUGAGACACGGUCCCGACUCCUACGGGGGGCAGCAGCGAGGAAUAUUGGGCAAUGGGCGAAAGCCUGACCCAGCAACGCCGCGUGAAGGAAGAAGGCCUUCGGGUUGUAAACUUCUUUUGUGGGGGAAGAGAGAGGACGGUACCCUGCGAAUAAGUCACGGCUAACUACGUGCCAGCAGCCGCGGUAAUACGUAGGUGACAAGCGUUAUCCGGAAUUAUUGGGCGUAAAGCGCACGCAGGCGGCGUACUAAGUCUGACGUGAAAUCUCCUGGCUUAACUGGGAGGGGACGUUGGAGACUGGUAGGCUUGAGGGAGUGAGAGGGGUGUGGAAUUCCCAGUGUAGUGGUGGAAUACGUAGAUAUUGGGAGGAACACCAGUGGCGAAAGCGGCACCCUGGCACUGACCUGACGCUCAGGUGCGAAAGCGUGGGUAGCGAACGGGAUUAGAUACCCCGGUAGUCCACGCUGUAAACGAUGAGUACUAGGUGUGGGUGGAGUCAAAUCUAUCUGUACCGAAGCAAACGCGCUAAGUACUCCGCCUGGGGAGUACGGCCGCAAGGCUAAAACUCAAAGGAAUUGACGG